CUGCUUUUCUGACUGGGUGUGUUCUUAUCUGUUUCUUCUCUCUUUUGCUCAUUUUGCUUUUAUCUCCAACUUUACAAGCAACGAUGUCAGUGGUGCUUUCCAGGUUCACCCCCCACAGCUGGGGGAAAGAAAGUGCAUGAAAAGUUCAUCCAACGGAUUUGGAGUGGACAGUUUUUCCUUUGUUUCAAAACUCCACUAGAUUCUGCAGGUGCUGAUUUCCUCCUUCCUGGUCUAGGGACCACAAGCAGGGAUUUAAUUUUGAUGAGUAACAUGAUAUGGUCAAGAAAAAGAACACCCUAGAUGAGGUAAAUUGUAAAUUAUGUUAGAUGAGAAAAUAAACAGCUUAGAGACAAAAGGGUCACAAAUCUGGAAAUCAGAUAACACAGGGCAUCAGAUUGAGGGGAGAUGGAUAAAGAAGUUUUAUAUCCUAAUUUUGCAUAAAUCUGGGGAAUUUUGAGAGACUGGCUCACAUCUCUAAACCCAUACACAAUCUGAAUUAUUUUCUAAUUUUGUUUUCUUUUUGUGUGAAAACACACAGAUUUUUCUUAAAUUCUGUAUAUAUUUGGCAACCUGAAGGGAAUUAUGAAAGGAAUCAACUUUCCUUCUCUAUCUUAGCUGCCUUUUGCUCCUGGUGCUCCUUUUUAGCAUCAGUUGAAAGCAGCACUCACCAUUUUUACUGACUUGAGUUUACUCUUAUGGGCAAUAAGAAAACUAUAGGUCAUUCGUAUCUUUAUUGAAUAUGAAGAUUCUAUUCCUCUUUCUCAUUCUUGUCCUUAUCCAAUCUCUACCUCCUCUUUUGACAACAUCAUGAAUUUCUUCCUGAAGCCCCUGUCUUGAAUGCAGGGACAGCAAGCAGCAGGCAGAAAAUAUCAUUUCUCUUUCAGUUGACUUGACUUAAAGACAGUAAACUCAGGAUCCUUUCAUUAUUCUCUAGUGUUUUACCUCCAGCAUCCCCUUUAUUGGUUUUACUCCUUAAGACUUUUUAACAGAGAUCAGUGAAUUCCUGAAAAUUGCUGACACAACUUUGUACACUUAGGCUUAAGUGGAUUUAGUGGUAAGGAGAGGGCAUAGAGCUUUCAUUACAUUUUCAAAGGAUUAAGUGGUUAAAAUAAGGAAAUCAAGCCAGUCAAUCCUAGAGAAAAUCAACCCUGAAUCUUCACUGGAAGAACUGACGCUGAAGCUGAAGCUCCAAUACCUUGGCCACCUAAUGCGAAAACCUGGCUCGUUGGAAAAGACCCUGAUGCUGGGAAAGAUUGAGGGCAGGAGCAAAAGAGGGCAACAGAGGACGAAAUGGUUGGAUAGCAUCACUGACUCAAUGCACAUGAGUUUGAGUAAACUCAGGGAGAUAAUGAAGGCCAGGGAAGCCUGAAGUGCUGCAGUCCAUGGGGUUGCAAAGAGUCAGACAUGACUUGGAGACUGAACAGGAACUAUUGUGAUACCCACAAGGGAAGCUAAUCUGUUUAGUCUUAGUGUGUUUAAGGUUAAUUAGAUUAAAUCCAUGGGUCACCAUUCAAGCUCAUUCAUUGGCUUCUGGAAGUACUGUCUGUGGGGUCUUCUGGAUUCUCCAAGGUCUGCGAAACAAAGGCAAUGGGAAGAAGGAAGUAGCAGAGCCCUCCAUCAGUUGAUGCUAAACACUUACAGGCCCUGCAUACUGCAUUUCACCCCUCACCCUGCCUCCUAUGUACUACCUCUUACCCCAGCCUGGUAUCAGCCUAUAAGGUGCUGGAUGGUUAAUUCACCAAAGGGGAAAAUUGCUGCCUUGCUGAACUGGUUACUCUUUUAUCUGUUCACUGUUAAAUGAGAGCACGAGCCAGAACUCUAGUUUCCAUUCUGGAGUCUUCUGGGUUCAUGUGCAUAAAGCAGUUGUCCCCGUGGGAGAGGAAAAAUAGACAAACAUUUUUACUUCCUUUUGUUGAUACUGCUUUUGGUGGGAAAACUCUGAGAACUGGGGAAUUUUUACUUUCAUUGGAGAAAUGUUUGUGGAGCACCUGUCUGUUGCAAGCACUGGGCCAGAAGUUGGCACAUGGUGUGAACAAAGCAGAUGUGGUCUCUGACCUUGUGGAAUUUCCAGUCAGUCUUCUGUCAGUUGGAGGAAGAAGAGAGAAACAUGGUUGUUCAGAAAUCUAAUAAUCUCUUUGGAAAAUCCUCAAACACAGCAUUACUAUUCCACACACACUUGUGUGGACAAGCUCAUUGCUCUAUCAAGCUUCCCGGGAAAGAAGGAAGAUGUUGAAUCAAGCUGCAUUCUUUAUAAGCUAUGUACUUGCUCAGAGGUGGACAGACUUUCCCUACUGUAUCCUCCCUUCCUUAGGGUUCUCUUCCCAAGGAAGUCUAAACUAAUCAAGACUCAUGAGGGAUGAAGAAAUGUCAUUGAAUCAUACAAAGCUGGUUUUGUGUCCCAGGGUUCUGAAAAAAAGUCGUUUCGACUCCCUUUUGUAAAUGUGCUUUUAGACCAGGACCAGAACUAUCAGCUCCACUAAUACUUAGAUAUAUGAACAUGGAGACAUUGUUGAGUUUCCUCAUGAGUAAAAUGAGGACAUUAUUAUUUGUCCUAUUGUUGUGAUUAAAACACAUACACACAGUCUCUGGUAUCAAGCAAAUAGAAGUGAUACUUAAGGUAUUUGGGGUCACUAAACAAAACUUUCUGCAAUGGAAGUUUUCUCCCCAAACCAUAGAUGUUCCCAUUCUGAAAUACCAUUACUCUUGGUCUAAUUUUCAACAACUCUUUAUCAAAAAAUUUAAUUUAAAUCCUGUAUAAAUAUUUAAAUUAGUUAUUUCUUCAAGUAUUCUGGAAUUCCAUAGCUACUAAGACUCUGUACUCCAGAUUUUCAAUCUGAAA
ensembl:lncRNA